GAUGAAGAACGUAGCGAAAUGCGAUACGUAAUGUGAAUUGCAGAAUUCAGUGAAUCAUCGAAUCUUUGAACGCAUAUUGCGCUCUCUGGUAUUCCGGAGAGCAUGCUUGUUUGAGUAUCAGUAAACACCUCAACUUCCAUAUCUUUUUUGAAAUGGGAGUUGGACUUGAGUGAUCCCAACGCUUUUCCUCACCGAAAAGUGGCGGGUUACUUGAAAUGCAGGUGCAGCUGGACUUUUCUCUGAGCUAUAAGCAUAUCUAUUUAGUCUGCCUAAAAAACAGAUUAUUACCUUUGCUUCAGCUAACAUAAAGGAGAUUAGUUCUUGUGCUGACUGAUGCAGGAUUCACAAAGACAGGCUUCGGCCGACUUUGUAAACUCGAUCUCAAAUCAAGUAAGACUACCCGCUGAACUUAAGCAUAUCAAUAAGCGGAGGA
rnacentral:misc_RNA from 1 species